UGGACAAAUUAUUGUAUUCGACUGUAUUCACGGUGUGAAAUAGGGGAUUACAUUGUUUUUAAAACGGAAAGUGAAUCAAUUAACAUAAUAGACUUCU
rnacentral:pre_miRNA from 1 species